rnacentral:rRNA from 1 species
CUCUCGGCAACGGAUAUCUCGGCUCUCGCAUCGAUGAAGAACGUAGCGAAAUGCGAUACUUGGUGUGAAUUGCAGAAUCCCGUGAACCAUCGAGUUUUUGAACGCAAGUUGCGCCCGAAGCCUUUUGGCCAGGGCACGUCUGCCUGGGCGUCACA